UACGUAGGGGGCAAGCGUUGUCCGGAAUCAUUGGGCGUAAAGAGCGUGUAGGCGGCCCAGUAAGUCCGCUGUGAAAGUCAAAGGCUCAACCUUUGAAUGUCAGCGGAUACUGCUGGGCUAGAGUCCGGAAGAGGCGAGUGGAAUUCCUGGUGUAGCGGUGGAAUGCGCAGAUAUCAGGAAGAACACCCGUGGCGAAGGCGGCUCUCUGGGACGGUACUGACGCUGAGACGCGAAAGCGUGGGGAGCGAACAGG
rnacentral:rRNA from 1 species